rfam:Brachypodium distachyon strain Bd21 chromosome 2, whole genome shotgun sequence.
CAUGUACUUCCUCCUUCCAACAAAAGAUGUCUCAAAUUUUACAAAAUUUGGAUGUAUCUACACAUGAUUUAGUGUAUAGAUGCAUUCAAAUUUGAUCAAAGUUGAGGCAUCCUUUUGUUGGACGAAGAGAGUAGCAA